rnacentral:rRNA from 1 species
AGACCCGAAACCCGGUGAUCUAGCCAUGGGCAGGUUGAAGGUUGGGUAACACUAACUGGAGGACCGAACCGACUAAUGUUGAAAAAUUAGCGGAUGACCUGUGGCUGGGGGUGAAAGGCCAAUCAAACCGGGAGAUAGCUGGUUCUCCCCGAAAGCUAUUUAGGUAGCGCCUCGUGAAUUCAUCUCCGGGGGUAGAGCACUGUUUCGGCUAGGGGGCCAUCCCGGCUUACCAACCCGAUGCAAACUGCGAAUACCGGAGAAUGUUAUCACGGGAGACACACGGCGGGUGCUAACGUCCGUCGUGAAGAGGGAAACAACCCAGACCGCCAGCUAAGGUCCCAAAGUCAUGGUUAAGUGGGAAACGAUGUGGGAAGGCCCAGACAGCCAGGAUGUUGGCUUAGAAGCAGCCAUCAUUUAAAGAAAGCGUAAUAGCUCACUGGUCGAGUCGGCCUGCGCGGAAGAUGUAACGGGGCUAAACCAUGCACCGAAGCUGCGGCAGCGAACGUAUCACUUAAAGCGAUUCAGCGGGUUACGAUUGACGGAGCGAAGCGACGUCAAAGCGUAUACAAAGUCGAGUCGGUUUAAGGAUACGUUCGUUGGGUAGGGGAGCGUUCUGUAAGCCUGUGAAGGUGGCCUGUGAGGGUUGCUGGAGGUAUCAGAAGUGCGAAUGCUGACAUAAGUAACGAUAAAGCGGGUGAAAAGCCCGCUCGCCGGAAGACCAAGGGUUCCUGUCCAACGUUAAUCGGGGCAGGGUGAGUCGACCCCUAAGGCGAGGCCGAAAGGCGUAGUCGAUGGGAAACAGGUUAAUAUUCCUGUACUUGGUGUUACUGCGAAGGGGGGACGGAGAAGGCUAUGUUGGCCGGGCGACGGUUGUCCCGGUUUAAGCGUGUAGGCUGGUUUUCCAGGCAAAUCCGGAAAAUCAAGGCUGAGGCGUGAUGACGAGGCACUACGGUGCUGAAGCAACAAAUGCCC